GUGGGGAAUAUUGGGCAAUGGGCGAAAGCCUGACCCAGCAACGUCGCGUGAAGGAAGAAGGUCUUCGGAUCGUAAACUUCUAUCCUUGGUGAAGAUAAUGACGGUAGCCGAGAAGGAAGCCCCGGCUAACUACGUGCCAGCAGCCGCGGUAAUACGUAGGGGGCAAGCGUUGUCCGGAAUGAUUGGGCGUAAAGGGCGCGUAGGCGGCCUGGUAAGUCUGGAGUGAAAGUCCUGCUUUUAAGGUGGGAAUUGCUUUGGAUACUGUCGGGCUUGAGUGCAGGAGAGGUAAGUGGAAUUCCCGGUGUAGCGGUGAAAUGCGCAGAGAUCGGGAGGAACACCAGUGGCGAAGGCGACUUACUGGACUGUAACUGACGCUGAGGCGCGAAAGUGUGGGGAGCAAACAGGAUUAGAAACCCCGGUAGUCC
rnacentral:rRNA from 1 species